rnacentral:lncRNA from 1 species
AUGCUACCUCUUUUGUUAGGGGUUACCCUGGCUCACUGCUUGGCCAUUGAUGUGUCCCUCAUCUUCAGGUGGAAAGUUCUUGUGCCAAUAGCCUUCUCUGAACACUGGAGCUGGAUGAGAAGAUGGAGAUACUGUGACCUGGAGAGCACCCAAGAAAGCCCUUGGCUUUGUUUCCAUCCUAAAGCCUUAGAAGACGGGCUUCCUCAGAUGUGCUCCAGGCCUCCAUGGGCGUAAGAGGAGAGGACCGUGUGCCAGCAGAAGCUAGAGGGCCCUCCAUUACCUGCUGAUUGACAGAAGGAGGCCAUGUCCUGUCAGUGGCUGCAUCUCAAUAUUCAAUGGUCAUCUCCAGCGAGAGGCAUGAGUCUGCAGUCAGAAUGUUUCAAAGGCUGCUUUCUCCAGCAACACCCAUCAACCAAAUGAAGUUUCAAAUCCCGAUCCACUGCUGAUGUGAAGAAAGCAUGUUCACAAAAACCCAUGGAUCUUGCCUAUUUUAGCAGUUUUUUUUAAAAAGAUUUUUAUUUAUUUAUUAUGUAUACAAUAUUCUGCUUCCAUGUAUAUCUGCACACCAGAAGAGGGCACCAGAUCUCAUAACGGAUGUUUGUGAGCCACUGUGUGGUUGCUGGGAAUUGAACUCAGGACCUCUGGAAGAACAGCCGGUGCGUUUAACCUCUGAGCCAUCUCUCCAGCCCCCCCCCUCCCCCGGAUCUUGCCUAUUUUGCCUGUCAUUCUUGACACCUGGCAGAGAUGGAUGAUGCCCAACCCUAUCUUGCCUAUUUUGCCUGUCAUUCUUGACACCUGGCAGAGAUGGAUGAUCAAUAUUCACUCCAAGAUUGAUUUUGCUUCUGGAAUUUUCUUUUCUUGUUUAAGAGUGUUGCUGUUGUUGUUUAUUUGUUUCUUUGCAGUCCUGAGGCAACUCUGAUUGGCCAGAUGUUUGAAGACUCAAAGCAGUACUGAGCAAAAAUAUUUAAAGUCUGUUGUUUGGGUCGCACCUGCAUGUCCCAGCCAUGUGACUUUAACACGUUUCUUGAAUGUAAAAUGGUUUUUAACAGCACCUGCUUUCUAAGAUUUUGGUUCAGUCUGGUUGAACAAUAAUAUGAGGGCAGUCCUUAUCCCAAGGCUUUCACAUAACAAGACCCAAUAACUGUGAACUACCAUUCAUUACUUUGGCUGUUGAAAUGUUUCCACUGCCCAAGCCCAGCCCUGUGACAGGUGGAAGAGUGUAGCAUGAAUAAUAAAAACCCAGAGACAGAUAUUGGGGUUAAAGCUGAAGAUCAGAGAAGCCAAGUGGCCACUUGAAGAGUUCUUAUUUCUACUAAUGUUCAGCCUAAAAGGACGAUCCACUGAACCUCAGACUUGACUGCACAGCUUCUCAGACUCAC